CCUACGGGAGGCUGCAGUGGGGAAUAUUGCACAAUGGGGGAAACCCUGAUGCAGCAACGCCGCGUGAAGGAAGACGGUUUUCGGAUUGUAAACUUCUGUUCUUAGUGAAGAAUAAUGACGGUAGCUAAGGAGCAAGCCACGGCUAACUACGUGCCAGCAGCCGCGGUAAUACGUAGGUGGCAAGCGUUAUCCGGAUUUACUGGGUGUAAAGGGAGCGUAGACGGAAAGGCAAGUCAGAAGUGAAAACCCAAGGCUCAACCAUGGGACUGCUUUUGAAACUGUCAAACUUGAGUACUGGAGAGGCAGACGGAAUUCCUAGUGUAGCGGUGAAAUGCGUAGAUAUUAGGAGGAACACCAGUGGCGAAGGCGGUCUGCUGGACAGCAACUGACGCUGAGGCGCGAAAGCGUGGGGAGCAAACAGGAUUAGAUACCCUUGUAGUC
rnacentral:rRNA from 1 species